GCCUGGGUGGCUCAGGUGGUUGAGCAUCCGACUGCAGCUCAGGUCACGGUUUUGCGGUUUGUGGGUUCGAGCCCCGCGUCGGGCU
rfam:Felis catus isolate Cinnamon breed Abyssinian chromosome A3, whole genome shotgun sequence.